UGGGUUAGUCGGGUCCUAAGCUGAGGCCGACAGGCGUAGGCGAUGGAUAACAGGUUGAUAUUCCUGUACCACCAUUAUUCGUUUUAAGCGAUGGGGGGACGCAGUAGGAUAGGCGAAGCGUGCUGUUGGAGUGCACGUCCAAGCAGUGAGAUUGAGUGUUAGGCAAAUCCGGCACUCUUAAGAUUGAGCUGUGAUGGGGAGAGGAACUUGUUCCUCGAGUCGUUGAUUUCACACUGCCGAGAAAAGCCUCUAGCUAGAAUAACGGUGCCCGUACCGCAAACCGACACAGGUAGUCAAGAUGAGAAUUCUAAGGUGAGCGAGCGAACUCUCGUUAAGGAACUCGGCAAAAUGACCCCGUAACUUCGGGAGAAGGGGUGCUCUUUGAGGUUCACGCUUCGAAGAGCCGCAGUGAAUAGGCCCAAGCGACUGUUUAUCAAAAACACAGGUCUCUGCUAAACCGUAAGGUGACGUAUAGGGGCUGACGCCUGCCCGGUGCUGGAAGGUUAAGAGGAGUGGUUAGCGCAAGCGAAGCUACGAAUCGAAGCCCCAGUAAACGGCGGCCGUAACUAUAACGGUCCUAAGGUAGCGAAAUUCCUUGUCGGGUAAGUUCCGACCCGCACGAAAGGCGUAACGAUUUGGGCACUGUCUCAACGAGAGACUCGGUGAAAUCAUAGUACCGGUGAAGAUGCCGGUUACCCGCGACAGGACGGAAAGACCCCGUGGAGCUUUACUGUAGCCUGAUAUUGAAAUUCGGUACAGUUUGUACAGGAUAGGUAGGAGCCUUAGAAGCGUGAGCGCUAGCUUACGUGGAGGCAUUGGUGGGAUACUACCCUAAUUGUAUUGGAUUUCUAACCCGCAGCACUUAUCGUGCUGGGAGACAGUGUCAGGCGGGCAGUUUGACUGGGGCGGUCGCCUCCUAAAGAGUAACGGAGGCGCUCAAAGGUUCCCUCAGAAUGGUUGGAAAUCAUUCAUAGAGUGUAAAGGCAUAAGGGAGCUUGACUGCGAGACCUACAAGUCGAGCAGGGUCGAAAGACGGACUUAGUGAUCCGGUGGUUCCGCAUGGAAGGGCCAUCGCUCAACGGAUAAAAGCUACCCCGGGGAUAACAGGCUUAUCUCCCCCAAGAGUUCACAUCGACGGGGAGGUUUGGCACCUCGAUGUCGGCUCAUCGCAUCCUGGGGCUGUAGUCGGUCCCAAGGGUUGGGCUGUUCGCCCAUUAAAGCGGUACGCGAGCUGGGUUCAGAACGUCGUGAGACAGUUCGGUCCCUAUCCGUCGUGGGCGUAGGAAAUUUGAGAGGAGCUGUCCUUAGUACGAGAGGACCGGGAUGGACAUACCUCUGGUGUACCAGUUGUCGUGCCAACGGCAUAGCUGGGUAGCUAUGUAUGGACGGGAUAAGUGCUGAAAGCAUCUAAGCAUGAAGCCCCCCUCGAGAUGAGAUUUCCCAACUUCGGUUAUAAGAUCCCUCAAAGAUGAUGAGGUGAAU
rnacentral:rRNA from 1 species